UACAGAGGUCUCAAGCGUUGUUCGGAUUCAUUGGGCGUAAAGGGCGCGUAGGUGGCUCGCUAAGUCAGGUGUGAAAUUUCGGAGCUUAACUCCGAAACUGCAUUUGAUACUGGUGUGCUUGAGGACGGGAGAGGAGACUGGAAUUCAUGGUGUAGCAGUGAAAUGCGUAGAGAUCAUGAGGAAGACCAGUGGCGAAGGCGGGUCUCUGGACAGUUCCUGACACUGAGGCACGAAGGCCAGGGGAGCAAACGGG
rnacentral:rRNA from 1 species